CACGUACUGUGCGAACGUUAUUCGGAAUCACUGGGCUUAAAGGGUGCGUAGGCUGCGGAUCAAGUCAGGUGUGAAAUGCCGGAGCUCAACUGCGGCAUUGCGCUUGAAACUGGUUUGCUGGAGUGUUUCAGGGGUGUGGGGAACUGCCAGUGGAGCGGUGAAAUGUGUUGAUAUUGGCAGGAACACCGGAGGCGAAAGCGCCACACUGGGGAACAACUGACGCUGAGGCACGAAAGCCAGGGGAGCGAACGGG
rnacentral:rRNA from 1 species